rnacentral:rRNA from 1 species
GACGAACGCUGGCGGCGUGCUUAACACAUGCAAGUCGAACGGAAAGGCCCUGCUUGUGUGGGGUGCUCGAGUGGCGAAAGGGUGACUAACAUGUGAGUAACCUGCCCUUGACUUUGGGAUAACUUCAGGAAACUGGGGCUAAUACCGGAUAGGAGCUCCUGCUGCAUGGUGGGGGUUGGAAAGUUUCGGCGGUUGGGGAUGGACUCGCGGCUUAUCAGCUUGUUGGUGGGGUAGUGGCUUACCAAGGCUUUGACGGGUAGCCGGCCUGAGAGGGUGACCGGCCACACUGGGACUGAGAUACGGCCCAGACUCCUACGGGAGGCAGCAGUGGGGAAUAUUGCACAAUGGGCGGAAGCCUGAUGCAGCAACGCCGCGUGCGGGAUGACGGCCUUCGGGUUGUAAACCGCUUUCGCCUGUGACGAAGCGUAAGUGACGGUAAUGGGUAAAGAAGCGCCGGCUAACUACGUG